rnacentral:rRNA from 1 species
CUACGGGCGGCUGCAGUGGGGAAUAUUGCACAAUGGGCGCAAGCCUGAUGCAGCCAUGCCGCGUGUAUGAAGAAGGCCUUCGGGUUGUAAAGUACUUUCAGCGGGGAGGAAGGGAGUAAAGUUAAUACCUUUGCUCAUUGACGUUACCCGCAGAAGAAGCACCGGCUAACUCCGUGCCAGCAGCCGCGGUAAUACGGAGGGUGCAAGCGUUAAUCGGAAUUACUGGGCGUAAAGCGCACGCAGGCGGUUUGUUAAGUCAGAUGUGAAAUCCCCGGGCUCAACCUGGGAACUGCAUCUGAUACUGGCAAGCUUGAGUCUCGUAGAGGGGGGUAGAAUUCCAGGUGUAGCGGUGAAAUGCGUAGAGAUCUGGAGGAAUACCGGUGGCGAAGGCGGCCCUCUGGUCGAAGACUGACGCUCAGGUGCGAAAGCGUGGGGAGCAAACAGGAUUAGAUACCCCCGUAGUC